rnacentral:lncRNA from 1 species
AUUAUGCUGAAAAUUUGCCACUGAUACUGGCUUUUCCAUAUUUCUAUCAGCUUACGGAAAGGGAACUGUGCCUACAUUUGAGGUCAGGUGUGGGUGGACACCUAAAGCGCCAAGUUUGAGUUCUCUUUGUGGUUGAUUUGGAUGCCUUUCUCCUUAAUGAAAGGUACCAAGUUGUCCUAUUCUUCCUCUCUCUCUCUCUCUCUCUCUCUCACACACACACACACAACACAGAGGAGGGGAUUAUAUUAGAUUUUUUUCUUAUGCCCUAAACACUUGGAACGUACUUUUAAGAUCUCUUCUGAUUUACCAACGUAAGUUGUGGAUAAAGUUCCAAUUAUAAUUUAGCUUGAUUCUGUAACUAUAUUCUCUCUCUCUCUCUCUCUCUCUGAGUUUUCAAUAAACUUAAAGACAUAUACUCUGUAUUCAUUUGCUUUUGUUUAGAAUUUUUAUGUUCUGUCAGAUAUUAUAAUGUUAUCCUAUAUCAUGCUGUGUUUCAGGACAUAUUCAUGUAGCUGUACUAAAUAAGAACAUGGAACUUCUAAAGUCAUUCCUUGCCACUUUGUGGUGUUUCAUUCCUUUAAAAAAACAAAGCGUCUCUUUAUUAAUUUCUUAUUAAUCAAAAAUCAUAUCCUACUACGCUCAGCCAACACAAUUGAAGUUAAAAUCACCAUAUCAUGCGUUAAAAGUUUCACGUGGGGUACUGGUUCUGCUGCCUAAUGUAAUGUGCAUCUGUUGCAAUUUCACCCACCCAACUAUUCCCUCCAUUUCAUUUAUAAGAUGUUUUGGUCCUACCUAGAUUCAUCCAUGGAUCUAUGUAUAUAUAUAUAUAUAUAUAUAUACAUAUAUAUAUAUAUAUAUGUCUAGAUUAAUUAGCAUCUAUAUGAAUUCAAGGAUGGCCAAAAAAUCUUAUAAUGUGGAACAGAGGUAAUACAAUUUACUCAAAUUUAUACCUUAUCUGUUAGAAUUGGUUUGUGCAAAUAUGAUGUUUGAGGAUGCACCUUCAUGAGUUCUUGUGAAUACCUGCAGGAGUUUAUUUGUUCUUUGACAUAUGUGCCACUCGGCCCACUCCAAUUGUGUGAUCGAACACCAUUUUCAAAAGAUUCUUCCCAAGUUGCUUCCUUUUCUUUUAAUAUGAAGAGCCCUGUGUAUGGCGAUUUGUAUGUACUUGAGGCAAAAGAGGAGGUGAAGGCAUGUUAGAUAAGGUCUAUAUUGAUUUUUGACUAGUGGACCAUAGAAUCUUAUUUUUUGUACUUUAUAGUUUUAUGUAGACUAUAUUUUUUGGAUAGUGCAUGCUACCUUAACUAGUGUAUUCUGCAUGUUUCUACUGUGCAUGUUUUGGCAUAAUAAGCCUGAGGCUACUUGCACAGGUUUCAGCAAGAACUUCCAUAUUUGAUUAGAGAAGUACUGCCCGCGCUUCAAAUCGAAGGUAAUCUGACCUAAAUGUUGAAACGGUUAAGACAGCAAGUCCAAACAAGAAUUACAAACUAGUAAGCAUGAUGAUGGAUUGAUGAUGAACACUAAAGUUAAUGGAAUCUAUGUAUGUCUUAUGGUCAGGUUAUGGCUUCACAAU